CAUUAUAAUAAAUCAACCCAUAUUCUACCCUUACUCCAAAUAUUUAAAUUAACUCAAUUUGUCAGAUCGUGCGCUCCAAAUUGACCUUGACCAUUAAGUAGCAAGAGCACUACUGAAACAAAAACUGACUCAUCGAAAUGCAGAUGCCGAUGUCGAUGCCUUUGACACCUACAACGCCCCUCGGUUCCCCAUUUUCCAAGAUGAUAUUCAAAAAACACGUUUUGCGUUUAUUGAACGCCCUUGAAGAUGCGACUGCUUCUGUGGCGUUUUCUGCUUCGAUUCAGCUGCGUAUCCAAUGCUCAUUCACAAGAUGCACAACAAGUUUACGUGUUUCACUGAAUUUUUCUGAUUUUGAUUAUGCAUAUGCCGAUUUAAUUGGAUGGUCGAAGUACCGGGGGCAACCUUUGCUGGCCUGUAAUUUGU
ensembl:ncRNA lncRNA:CR44610 long non-coding RNA:CR44610